CAUCUGACAUUCGCCGCUAAUAUUUACCAAGUGCAAACCAAAGGAGAAAAUGCGAUCGGAGACGGUUAUCUCUCUGGUAUCAUUUGCCUGCCGGAAUCGGAGACUCAAGAUUGCCACUACCAAGACCCACGUUCUCUAUCUAGAAGAUUCAGCAGAGACAUCCAUCGUACACAAAGAAUGAAUUAGAUAACUGCUAUGCGAGGAAUCCGGAGAUAAUGGGAAUAAUAUCACCCGAAGUUGCGAAGACACUGGAAUAAGUCGAGAAAGAUAUUCCAUCAAUAAUAGAAGUCAUAAUUUUAUACCGUUCGCUUACUUUGCAUAUGUUAAGCGAAUGUGUACUUGGAUGGCCCAUGAAGUGGCUAAAAAGUCCUUAAAGCCUCCUUUUUAGGAGUUAUUAUUGUAA